CCUGGAUGCUUCAUACUUUGUAUAUGGAUGCCUCAUGUUACGAAGUUUCCGUCAGUCACAUGUCCAAUGUCCUUGACCUCAUUUUCAUGGUUCAGUGACUACUUGAAAAAAAAGUUCAGAUUUUUUGUAAUGUUAAAUUCUCUCUUAUUAUAAGUAAUAGGAUAACUAUAUUUGGUAUGUGCGUACCUUGCAAGGUCCUCAUGCCCGUCAGACAGUUUUCACUUGACCUCGACCUCAUUUCAUGGAUCAGUGAACAAGGUUAAGUUUUCGUGGUCAAGUCCAUAUCUCAGAUACUAUAAGCAAUAGGUCUAGUAUAUUCGGUGUAUGGAAGGACUGUAAGGUGUACAUGUCCAACUGGCAGGUGUCAUCUGACCUUGACCUCAUUUUCAUGGUUCAGUGGUUAUAGUUAAGUUUUUGUGUUUUGGUCUGUUUUUCUUAUACUGUAUGCAAUAGGUCUACUAUAUUUGGUGUAUGGAAUGAUUGUAAGGUGUACAUGUCUAGUUGGCAGGUGUCAUCUGACCUUGACCUCAUUUUCAUGGUUCAGUGGUCAAAGUUAAGUUUUUGAGUUUUGGUCUUUUUUUCUAAUACUGCAUGCAAUAGGUCAGCUAUAUUUGGUGUAUGGAAUGAUUGUAAGGUGUACAUGUCUAGCUGGCAGGUGUCAUCUGACCUUGACCUCGUUUUCAUGGUUCAGUGGUUAUAGUUAAGUUUUUGUGUUUUGGUCUGUUUUUCUUAUACUGUAUGCAAUAGGUCUACUAUAUUUGGUGUAUGGAAUGAUUGUAAGGUGUACAUGUCUAGCUGGCAGGUGUCAUCUGACCUUGACCUCAUUUUCAUGGUUCAGUGGUUAUAGUUAAGUUUUUGUGUUUUGGUCUGUUUUUCUUAUACUGUAUGCAAUAGGUCUACUAUAUUUGGUGUAUGGAAUGAUUGUAAGGUGUACAUGUCUAGCUGGCAGGUGUCAUCUGACCUUGACCUCAUUUUCAUGGUUCAGUGGUUAUAGUUAAGUUUUUGUGUUUUGGUCUGUUUUUCUUAUACUGUAUGCAAUAGGUCUACUAUAUUUGGUGUAUGGAAUGAUUGUAAGGUGUACAUGUCUAGCUGGCAGGUGUCAUCUGACCUUGACCUCGUUUUCAUGGUUCAGUGGCUAUAGUUAAGUUUUUGUGUUUUGGUCUGUUUUUCUUAUACUGUAUGCAAUAGGUCUACUAUAUUUGGUGUAUGGAAUGAUUGUAAGGUGUACAUGUCUAGCUGGCAGGUGUCAUCUGACCUUGACCUCAUUUUCAUGGUUCAGUGGUUAUAGUUAAGUUUUUGUGUUUUGGUCUGUUUUUCUUAUACUGUAUGCAAUAGGUCUACUAUAUUUGGUGUAUGGAAUGAUUGUAAGGUGUACAUGUCUAGCUGGCAGGUGUCAUCUGACCUUGACCUCGUUUUCAUGGUUCAGUGGUUAUAGUUAAGUUUUUGUGUUUUGGUCUGUUUUUCUUAUACUGUAUGCAAUAGGUCUACUAUAUUUGGUGUAUGGAAUGAUUGUAAGGUGUACAUGUCUAGCUGGCAGGUGUCAUCUGACCUUGACCUCGUUUUCAUGGUUCAGUUGUCAAAGGUAAGUUUUUGAGUUUUGGUCUUUUUUUCUAAUACUAUAUCCAAUAGGUCAACUUUAUUUGGUGUAAGGAAAUAUUUUAUGAUCUUUAUGUCAGUCGCGCAGGUUUUAUAUGACCUUGACCUCAUUUUCACAGUUCAUUGCUCAGUGUUAAGUUUUUGUGUUUUGGUCUUAAACUAUAAGCAAUAGGUCAACUAUAUUUGUUAUAUGGAAGAAUUGUUAACUGUACAUGUCUGCUUGGCAUGGUUCAUCUGACCUUGACCUCAUUUUCAUGGUUCAUUGGUCAAUGUUUAGUUUUCUUGGUUAAUGUUAAGUUUAUGUGACAGUUGUAAUAAAGCUUUAUAUUUAGGACUAUCAACAUAAUAUCAAUGAUUAGUAAAGAAGGCGAGACAUUUCAGUGUGUGCACUCUUGUUUAUA